CCUACGGGUGACAGCAGUGGGGCAUAUUGCUCAAUGGGGGAAACCCUGAUGCAGCGACGCCGCGUGAGUGAAGAAGGUUUUCGGUAUGUAAAGCCCUAUUUGUCGGGAAGAAAAUGACGGUACCUGACUACGACGCCCCGGCUAACGACGUGCCAGAUGCCGCGGUAAUACGGAGGGGGCAAGCGUUAUCCGGAUUUACUGGGUGUAAAGGGAGCGUAGACGGUAGCAUAAGUCCGGAGUGAAAUUCCGGGGCUUAACCCCGGAACUGCAUUGGAAACUGUGAGGCUAGAGUGCGGGAGAGGUAGGUGGAAUUCCUGGUGUAGCGGUGAAAUGCGUAGAUAUUGCGAGGAACACCGAUUGCGAAGGCAGCCUGCCGGGUUGCGACUGACGCUGAGGCACGAAGGUGCGGGUAUCAAACAGGAUUAGAUACCCGGGUAGUC
rnacentral:rRNA from 1 species